rnacentral:rRNA from 1 species
AACGAACGCUGGCGGCAUGCCUAACACAUGCAAGUCGAACGAGACCUUCGGGUCUAGUUGCGCACGGGUGCGUAACGCGUGGGAACCUGCCCUUAGGUUCGGAAUAACUCCCCGAAAGGGGUGCUAAUACCGGAUAAUGUCUUCGGACCAAAGAUUUAUCGGCUAUGGAUGGGCCCGCGUUGGAUUAGCUAGUUGGUAGGGUAAAAGCCUACCAAGGCGACGAUCCAUAGCUGGUCUGAGAGGAUGAUCAGCCACACUGGGACUGAGACACGGCCCAGACUCCUACGGGAGGCAGCAGUGGGGAAUAUUGGACAAUGGGCGAAAGCCUGAUCCAGCAAUGCCGCGUGAGUGAUGAAGGCCUGAGGGUUGUAAAGCUCUUUUAACCGGGAUGAUAAUGACAGUACCGGGAGAAUAAGCGCCGGCUAACUCCGUG